GUGGGGGACUUUUGGGAUAGCAUUGGAAAUGUAAUUGAAGAAAAUAUGUAAUAAAAAAAAAAGAAGAAGAAGAACAGAAAUGCAUUCAAUACCGAAGUGAAGCAGCCCAUGGGGCUUGACAGUGUGAGGCCUGUUAUGACUCCUGACACUCAAGGUCUGGAAAGCUGAUUAACAGAAGUGUGAGGAAAGUUGGGAAGACCAGAUAUAUCCAGGAACAGGUGCUAGUGACAGAGCACUUAAGGGAAUUGGGGACACAGUCUCACUGGCAUGAAGGGGAAUUGGCCUGUUAUGCUAGAGUGUCUUUAGAAAAUAUGGGUGUCACUGGGAGGGGCUGCUUGUGCAUAGGUUAGGGCAACCCUGUCAUGUUCAAGCACAGAUGGCUUCAAAUCAUAUUGGCCAGUUGCUGCUGAUGCUGUCCAGCAGUGUAGAGUAGCACCCAAAUCUAGCCUUCUGUCUUCUAGCAGAACCCUGUGUCUUGUAUAUAACUCAAGGCACCAUUCUUCCGCAGCUGAAAGGCAGUUUGAUGGCUUUGCUGAGGAGUGCUGUGAUUUUUCUCUCACUUUAUCGGAUACAUUAAAACGUUGCUUACAGAAAUAGGCUUCAAUCUUUCCUGCUUCCUAAAGCCUUUCCAUUCCCAGAAGCCUGUCUCCAGUGUCCAUUCUCAACUCUUCUGCUCUGCUUUACUUUCUAUUUGUUGCAGGUGUGUUCUCAGCUCUGCCUGUCACAGUGUGUCAGAACUUUUGUAUUUGUCUUUCCACCUGGCUGGUAAGAUCCAUGGGGACAGGCAUGAUGUUAUUUUCUUAACUAUUAGACCCUGAGAUGACAGAUGCUAAACAGAUGAUUUGAAUGAAGGAAUGGCCUAUGUCGCAGAAUCCAUUACCUUCCACUUGUCUGACUGUAGGUGGCCAGAUCUGACUCCCUUAGACAUACAUGCCGGUCCCUUUUAAAUCUUGUUUAAUUUGUCCAGUGGGUGAAUGGAUGGAUGGAUGGACAGACGGACACACACUUCUGAAUGCCAUUUUCCCUUUGCUAGUUGGGUUGCUCUGCCCUGGACUUCUCUGCACUUUCCUUCCUUGCUUACCAGCACAAGUGAAUCAUAAGAUCAGACUUCAGAACAGAUGUCAUGUCGGAAACAAUGCCUUUUUGUUUUGAGGCCUGCAAGUCAUUCCAGAGUCUGGGAAAAGCCAUGUUCUUGGAAUGGAACGCAGCAUAAAUACAGACUAGGAAUGACAGUUGCUCACAUUUGGGUGAAGUUCUGAAGGAAGGAAAUGGACAAGCCCCCCCACCCCACCCUACCCCACCUCCGACAACUUGAAUAUCUUUAGGAGCCUUCUCAUCUUGAAAUGUCAAUACAAGGGUAAAGCCAUAGAUACAGAGUGACAUCUAUAGUGAAAUAUUGGAACUACCAAAAAGAGUGAUUUUACUUCAGGCUCAGCAGAACUAAAUCAGAGUUAGUGUCUCUGUUACCAUCUCCUUUGUGAAAAGCCUCAUAGAUUUCUGUGGUUGACAACAUUGACAGAGAUGACAUGGAAGAGCAGGUUUCUGCCUUGAAACCAGGGCUUCAAAUCUGAGAACCGUGGGAAAUCUGUUGAACUACACAGGUUUUCAUGUGGUUCAAAACUCCUAACAUUUCAGAACAGUUAUGUGAUAGAAGAUAUUGACUUACUGCAACUGACUAAAAGUUUUUACUUCUAUUUUAUAGGUGAACAGAAUCUAAAAUGUGACUAGUAUUAUACUUUUUAGAAAUAAGUUUGUACAAAAAGCUCUAUGAGUAGGUAAACUGGUUAAGUAAAAACUAGGCAAUGCCUUCAGUUUUUAAAUUGUAUUUUAUGAUUUUCUCUCUGGUGACUCUAAGGUGGGUCUACUCAGGAGCAGCAGAGCAGCAGGGACCUAUGGCCCUACAUCUGAUCCCAGGAGCUAGGGCUGUUUCACAGUCCUCUGUGUACCUUUCCUGCCAGAGGAGGGCUUGCAUCCAGGACAUGUCUGUCCCUGGACUCGGGUGAGAUCACCAUUUUCUCUCCAGUGACUCUCUAAGGCACUCAAGAAUGCACUGGCCACAGAAGCAGCAGAGCCGCUGGAACAGGGUUCUAUAGUCCUACAUCUGCACCCAGGAGGUUGGGCUUUUCCGCAACCUUUUCGUGCACUGGUCUUGCCAGGAGAGGGCUGGUCUCCCAGGAGUACUGACACAGGCUUACAGACUCAAAGGAAGAACAAGCCUCAGCCAGAGAGAGCAAGAACAUGUAACAUCAGAGAUUAGCAGAUGGCCAAAGGCAAAAGUGAGAAUCUGACCAACAGAAACCAAGACUGCUUGGCAUCCUCAAAUCUCAGUACUUCCAACACAGCAAGUUCAGGAUACCCCAACACACUGAAAAAGCAAGCUUCAGAUUUAAAAUCGUAUCUCAUGAUGCUGGUAGAAGAUAAUAAGAACAUGAAUAAAUUUUUUUAAAGAAAUACAGGAGAGCCAGGCAUAGUGGCACACGCCUUUAAUCAAAGUACUUGGGAGGCAGAGGCAGGUGGAUUACUGAGUUCGAGACCAGCCUGGUCUACAAAGUGAGUUCCAGUUCCAGGACAGCCAGGGCUACAGAGAAACCCUGUCUUG
rnacentral:lncRNA from 1 species